AUGUACCCACAUAGUCCAACACACCUGAAACCUUCACUGUGGUGUGGUGAGGUAACACAUUUGAAUCAUCCCUACAUCUUUGAUGCAAGAUGCAGCGACUUUAGUCUGGUGAUCAAGCAUCUAUAUGUAAGUGAGGAUAACAGAAUGGCAUGUACAGCUGAGGAAACCCCACCUCAGCUAUGAGGGAACCAGUUCGAGGGGGAUGGGGAGUCCCCGAAAUGGCCAACUCAGGUCUCACUCACCCGAGCAGGAAACCCGGUCUUCAUCACCCUGCUGAGGUCAUCUCUAAUUAUAACUGGACUAGGUUAAGCCAGCCCGGCAGGCUCGCUGGAUCAUGCCCUGUUCCUGUCAUACAUUCACAAUUUGGAGAGACACACAGGCGUUUGGCAGCCUUCGGACUUUUGUGUGUUGGAAAUGUGCUGAUUGACAUGAAAACUAAGCGUGUGUGAUGUGAUUUAUUUCUCUCGGUUUAUCAGUGCAAGACUGCUGCCUUGCAUCAAUCUGUCAAUACCAGACAUUGUGUCAAACUGCAUGUAAAUGGCAAAUUACAGAUUAUAUUGUCGUUUUUGCGUU